AUUUGUAAAUACUCAUUUUGUCGACAAUAGAGUUGAGAUGCAUGUAGUUUUUUUUUUUAACGCUGAUAUAUUAUGAUAUUACAAUUAUGAGAAUGAUUACAUAGACGAUCCGAUAACCGACAAUACUACAUGCCUUAUAAGGAUCUACGCCUAACUGCAUCACCUGAGCCGUCCUACGAAGAUCGCACCUGACCGAGUUUACUUGCACCAUGUUGGAGAUCCUUUGUAAGCAUUUCUUCCGUAGCCUGCAUAAUUGUUUAAUAAAUCGCUUUCUCCGGGAAUUGAAACCUGAACCUGCCGGUGUAGAAGCAUUAAUGAACCCUUAGUCAAACCAUUGGACUAAGGGGGCUUCCACAAGAUGCUUGUCGUUUCUUUUGCAAAAAAUUGUCGUUACCUUAGCUGCUGCAAACCUUUUAUCUUUAUUGAAAAUUUAAGCUUUGUAACAG
rnacentral:lncRNA from 1 species